rnacentral:rRNA from 1 species
GUUCCUACGGGACGCAGCAGUGAGGGAUAUUGGUCAAUGGGGGAAACCCUGAACCAGCAACGCCGCGUGAGGGAAGACGGUUUUCGGAUUGUAAACCUCUGUCCUCUGUGAAGAUAAUGACGGUACCUGACUAAGAAGCCCCGGCUAACUACGUGCCAGCAGCCGCGGUAAUACGUAGGGGGCAAGCGUUAUCCGGAUUUACUGGGUGUAAAGGGAGCGUAGACGGCUGUGCAAGUCUGAAGUGAAAUGCCGGGGCUCAACCCCGGAACUGCUUUGGAACCUGUACAGCUAGAGUGC